UACGGAGGGUGCAAGCGUUAUCCGGAUUCACUGGGUUUAAAGGGUGCGUAGGUGGGCUGGUAAGUCAGUGGCGAAAUCUCCGGGCUUAACUCGGAAACUGCCGUUGAUACUAUCAGUCUUGAAUGUUGUGGAGGUAAGCGGAAUAUGUCAUGUAGCGGUGAAAUGCUUAGAUAUGACAUAGAACACCGAUAGCGAAGGCAGCUUGCUACACAAUAAUUGACACUGAGGCACGAAAGCGUGGGGAUCAAACAGG
rnacentral:rRNA from 1 species